GAGUUUGAUCGUGGCUCAGAUUGAACGCUGGCGGCAUGCCUUACACAUGCAAGUCGAACGGCAGCACGGGAGCUUGCUCCUGGUGGCGAGUGGCGAACGGGUGAGUAAUGCAUCGGAACGUAUCCUGGAGUGGGGGAUAACGUAGCGAAAGUUACGCUAAUACCGCAUAUUCUGUGAGCAGGAAAGCGGGGGACCUUCGGGCCUCGCGCUCUUGGAGCGGCCGAUGUCGGAUUAGCUAGUUGGUGAGGUAAAGGCUCACCAAGGCGACGAUCCGUAGCAGGUCUGAGAGGAUGAUCUGCCACACUGGAACUGAGACACGGUCCAGACUCCUACGGGAGGCAGCAGUGGGAAUUUUGGACAAUGGGGGCAACCCUGAUCCAGCCAUGCCGCGUGAGU
rnacentral:rRNA from 1 species